rnacentral:rRNA from 1 species
AUUGAACGCUGGCGGCAGGCCUAACACAUGCAAGUCGAGCGGAUGAAGGGAGCUUGCUCCUGGAUUCAGCGGCGGACGGGUGAGUAAUGCCUAGGAAUCUGCCUGGUAGUGGGGGAUAACGUCCGGAAACGGGCGCUAAUACCGCAUACGUCCUGAGGGUGAACGUGGGGGAUCUUCGGACCUCACGCUAUCAGAUGAGCCUAGGUCGGAUUAGCUAGUUGGUGGGGUAAAGGCCUACCAAGGCGACGAUCCGUAACAGGUCUGAGAGGGUGAUCGGUCACACAGGAAAUGAGAGACGCUGCACAGUCCCACGGGAGGGAGAAGUGGGGAAUAUUGUGCAAAGGGGGAGAGAGUGAGGGAGCGACACGGCGUGUGUGAAGAAGGUCUUCGGAUUGUAGAGCACUUUAAGUUGGGAGGAAGGGCAGUAAGUUAAUACCUUGCUGUUUUGACGUUACCAACAGAAUAAGCACCGGCUAACUUCGUG